UUGAUGUAUGAUCCAAAUUUGAAUCUCUUUAAUUGAAGUUUAAACCUGGAUCAGCUUGGGCAAUUUGGUUUUUUUUCUAACUCAGCUAAGACCAAGGAUCAACAAACAUCCCAAGAAAGGACUCUCCUAGGCAUUUCCAGGCUCAAAUUUAUCCAAGAGGCAUUAUGCCUUGAUCUUCAUUCCUAUUUGCUUGCUGGCCCUGUGGAUUGCAAUCUCAUAUUAUAUCUCAUAUCUCAGCUUAUGCUGUACCCAAGAAGUCAUCAGCGUAUAUGAUGUUACUAACAUAUGCUUCAUUUACCUGUAUGACUUGGUCAGACUUCAUCCUGUUCCCGAUGGUCCUCU